AGAGCGGAAGUGGGGGCCGGGUCAGCCGCGGGAUUUGAAGCCGAAAGGCAGGAUUUAGGCUCAGAAUGGCCGAAGUGGCGGGGCUCGGACUUGGGCGGUGGGAGUAGAGCAGAGUCCACGCAAGCGGUAUCAAUGGAAACCUAUCAAAAGGGUGAAUCCUUCGAGCCGGAUUCGAACCAGCGACCUAAGGAUGACCAUGGUCAACCAUCUACAGUCCUCCGCUCUACCAACUGAGCUAUCGAAGGAUUGGUGAUAGGGCUUGUUAUAAUACCGCUAAUAAUGUUUAUCCCCGUGGUUUUAAUCAUCUUUUUAAAAUUACAGGCAAAUGCUUUUUCUAGAGUGCUAGAAAUGUUCUAAAACUGGUAGGAGUGGUAAUCAUAGAGGUAUAUUGAAAAAUUAAUACCCUUGAACACUUAA